rnacentral:rRNA from 1 species
GCUCAGAGUGAACGCUGGCGGUAGGCCUAACACAUGCAAGUCGAACGGCAGCACAGUAAGAGCUUGCUCUUAUGGGUGGCGAGUGGCGGACGGGUGAGGAAUACAUCGGAAUCUACCUUUUCGUGGGGGAUAACGUAGGGAAACUUACGCUAAUACCGCAUACGACCUUCGGGUGAAAGCAGGGGACCUUCGGGCCUUGCGCGGAUAGAUGAGCCGAUGUCGGAUUAGCUAGUUGGCGGGGUAAAGGCCCACCAAGGCGACGAUCCGUAGCUGGUCUGAGAGGAUGAUCAGCCACACUGGAACUGAGACACGGUCCAGACUCCUACGGGAGGCAGCAGUGGGGAAUAUUGGACAAUGGGCGCAAGCCUGAUCCAGCCAUACCGCGUGGGUGAAGAAGGCCUUCGGGUUGUAAAGCCCUUUUGUUGGGAAAGAAAAGCAAUCGGCUAAUACCCGGUUGUUCUGACGGUACCCAAAGAAUAAGCACCGGCUAACUUCGUGCCAGCAGCCGCGGUAAUACGAAGGGUGCAAGCGUUACUCGGAAUUACUGGGCGUAAAGCGUGCGUAGGUGGUUGUUUAAGUCUGUUGUGAAAGCCCUGGGCUCAACCUGGGAAUUGCAGUGGAUACUGGGCGACUAGAGUGUGGUAGAGGGUAGUGGAAUUCCCGGUGUAGCAGUGAAAUGCGUAGAGAUCGGGAGGAACAUCCAUGGCGAAGGCAGCUACCCUGGACCAACC